UGAACGCUGGCGGCGUGCUUAACACAUGCAAGUCGAACGAGAACGCUUCAGCUUGCUGAAGCUAGUAAAGUGGCGUACGGGUGAGUAACGCGUGGGUAAUCUACCUUCGAAUCGGGGAUAACGCUGCGAAAGCGGUGCUAAUACCGGAUAAUAUCUUUUGGGCCUUGGCCUUUUAGAUCAAAGGUGGCCUCUACAUGUAAGCUACCAUUUGAAGAUGAGCCCGCGUACCAUUAGCUUGUUGGUGGGGUAACGGCCUACCAAGGCCGCGAUGGUUAGCUGGUCUGAGAGGAUGAUCAGCCACACUGGAACUGACACACGGUCCAGACUCCUACGGGAGGCAGCAGUGAGGAAUUUUGCGCAAUGGGGGAAACCCUGACGCAGCAACGCCGCGUGAGUGAUGAAGGCUUUCGGGUCGUAAAACUCUGUCAAGUGGGAAGAAACUGCUUCAUGUUAAUAUCAUGUUGCAUUGACGGUACCAUUGAAGGAAGCACCGGCUAACUCC
rnacentral:rRNA from 1 species